rnacentral:rRNA from 1 species
UAGUGGAGUGAUCUGUCUGGUUAAUUCCGAUAACGAACGAGAUCCCGGCCAUUUAAAUAGUGUUUAUUACUUUUGUAGUAAUACACUUCUUAGAGGAACUAUGUGGAAAACUAACCCCAAGGAAGUGGGGCGUAUAACA